CCUUCAGGCUUGGUUAGGAUGUAAGAAUAUGACUAUCUGGAAUGAAGUUGAAGUCUCCCUGAAAGCUGUCGUCUAUAUGUGCUGUAUCAACUGAUAUUACCUGUUGGGGAUUGGUUCUAAUGCUUUGUCUUAAUUCGGCCCCAAACGUCACACAGGAAUCUAAGUGUCCAGACGAUGAGGGUCUCUGUCCCCAAUUGGUUUUUGAUUUAUCAGUAAAGGGCCAGUGGCCAAUGGCUGGGCAGGUCUUUUAGGAUUCCCAGGCAAGGAACACAGAGGAGAGAAGAAGGCCUCUCUGCCAUGAGAGGGCCAUUUGGGGAAGCAAAGAGAUCAGACUUAAGAGCUCACCAAUGUAUAAGAAUUAGAGAAAAUGGCCUCAGGGUCCACUUCCCCAAUUGGGUCUUGGAUAGCAGAGAAAAAAAUACAGAUUUAGAAAGUGUUAACUCGAGAAUACCAGAAGGCAGCGUGUGCUAGCCAUGGAGAGGUUCAGGAAUGGCCCAGCCAUUGAGCUAGUAAGGCAUAUUAAGUAUAAAGGUUGCGUGUGCAUGUCUUUCAUUUGUGAAUGCAGAGCUCCUGGGUGGAUGCAGAGGCAAGUGUCUGCCUGGAGCUCAGAGUGGCUAACAAUUUACGGCUGAAAUUACCACAUCUGAAACUAAAUCUGAGAAUAAAUUUUUAUUCAUUAGAUACUUUACCUUUUAAUGUAAAUAAUACAUUUUAUCAAUGAAUACUUUUUAAAAAAAAUGACAUGUAUGUAUUUAUUUUUGUAAGGCAAUGGAGGUUAGGAGACAACUUGCUGGGAUCAAUUCUCUCCUUCCACCACGAGGGUUCUGAGGAUCCAACUUACGUUGGCAAGCACCUUUAUCUGAUGAGCCAUCUCACAGAUCAAAUCUCUGUUCCUGCUGCUGUGAUAAAAUAUCCUGACAAAAGCAACUUAAGGGAGGAUGAUUGAUUUUGGCUCUUGGUCUGAGGGUACAGUCCAUUGUGUCGUCGGUGAAGUCCUGGUAGCAGGAGCAGGAGACACAUUGAGUCUGCAGUCUCAAAGCAGAGAACGACAGGCAUGGAUAGUGGUGUGUCUCCUAGGUGAUUCUAGAUCCUGUCAAAAAUGACAACUGAGAGCAACUUAUCUCCCUGAGGACUGCUGCUGACCACCAUGAAGCUCCUCAGAGAUUCCCUUUUAAGUGCUGAUGAUGCUGUUUGUAGUAGAGUGUUGUCAAAAUUGCACAAAGCCUCCAUUUCUUCCUCCAACACCACAAACAAAACACAGAAAAACAUGUCCAUAGCUCACCCCUGGACUCUUUGGCACCAUUGCUCAGCUUUCACUUUUCAAAUUUACCUUUUUGGGGGAAGGAAGGCUUCAAGGAUGGAGGGUGGAAGAACUGGAAGAAGAGUGGGAUUGGGGUGCAUGAUGUGAAUUUCCCAAAGAUUCAAUAAAGAAUUAUAUUAAA